rnacentral:rRNA from 1 species
UACGUAGGGUCCAAGCGUUAUCCGGAUUUAUUGGGCGUAAAGCACAUGUAGGUGGUUUUGUAAGUCUUGUUUUAAAGCUCCGAGCUUAACUCGGAAUCUGGACGAGAUACUACAAGGCUAGUGGUCAGCAGGGGCAAACGGAAUUCCCAGUGUAGGAGUGAAAUCCGUUGAUAUUGGGAGGAACACCAAUGGCGAAGGCAGUUUGCUAGGCUGAUUCAGACACUGAGAUGUGAAAGCGUGGGGAGCGAAC